AGAUCAUUUUGGCCAUCAGUUAUAUGCUAAUGUUAAUUUUUUUUUUCAUGUGGACACAUUUCUCUGACAUGUUACUUUUCUAUCCUCAGAUUUAUUUUUAAAUCUCCAAAGCAUCGCCUGAUUUGAUUGUCUGUCUCUCUCAACAUAGUUGUCGUGCAGUGAGUGAAAGUUGAAAUACAAAUAUAUCUAUACAUAGAUUCUUAUAAGACUUUACAUUCACAACGGAGCAGAGGUUUGUAGGGAACAGAUCUCUACAUUGGGAGUUAGUUAUUUAUUUGUAUUGUGUCAUGGAAAAAUGACUCAGACGAACAAUGAACAAAAGUUCAAAGACUGUUUUGUUUUCUCACGUGCGUUUGAUACUGCUCCUAUUGGACGAUAUCCAGGCCGCUAUUGCAGAGGAAGAUGUCAAUGUCACUUGUUGGUUGGACCAAACUCCACAGAGGAUGUUAUAAAUUUGUGGAAGAAGAAGCAACAUGGACUGAUGCUGUAGAGAAAUGUCAAUCAGACAAUGCUGAACUUUCUGUUCUAUUAAGUCAAACUGAGAAGGAUGAUGUACAACAAUAUUUUAUAGCGAACAAUAAAAUAAAUGACAAGAGGUGGUGGGUGGGGCUGACCAGAUCUGAAAAUACUGGAUCAAACUGGACCUGGACUGAAAAUACACCAAUUAGUACGAAACUAACUCCUUGGUUCCGAGAGAAUCAAAAGACUAAGCCAGGUGAACUCUCUGCAACUAUCGAACUCAACUCUGGCAGAUUAGUUUUAAGAUCUGACUUCCGUGAUGACCAAGAGGUUAUAUACCCAUUCAUUUUUGAAUUUCAUAAAGAGAAUGAUAUCAAUGUCACUUGUCAAGAAGGUUGGACCAAACUCCACAGAGGAUGUUAUAAAUUUGUGGAAGAAGAAACAACAUGGACUGAUGCUGUAGAGAAAUGUCAAUCAGACAAUGCUGAACUUUCUGUUCUAUUAAGUCAAACUGAGAAGGAUGAUGUACAACAAUAUUUGAUCUCGAACGAUGAAAUAAAUUACAAGAGGUGGUGGGUGGGGCUGACCAGAGAGGAAAAUACUGGAUCAAACUGGAUCUGGACUGAGAGGGACAAUACACGAAUUGAUACGAAAAUAACUCCUUGGUUCCAAAACAGUCAAAGCACUAAGAAAGGUGAACUCUCUGCAACUAUCGAACUCAACUCUGGCAGAUUAGUUUUAAGAUCUGACUUACGUGAUGACCAAGAGGUUAUAUACCCAUUCAUUUGUGAAUUUCAUAAAGUUACACCUCGACCUCCUGGAAACGGAACCACGGAGAGUGAUGACACCAGUACAACAUCGCCAUUAAAAGAGAGUGACUCCACGGAUAGUACGCAGAAAUUAUCAAGCUACAGUUCUGGUUCUAAAAGCUCCACUCCUACAGGCAGUGCACGACGGAAGUUGUCUGCGAAGACAAGCCAAGCACACAACUCCACUUCCACUUCUGGAACUACAACUACAGCCAGAACCCUAGCAGCAGAGGCUACAACUGCAAUACUGCAAACCAAAAACCUCACUACACAAACAAAUGUAUCUAAAUCACCAAUUUGGAGCCUAGACUAUGAAGAAGCCGCCAAGAUGUACGAGAGAUGCUACAUACCAGGCACUGGUGGGAGCCAGAUGGAGCGGGUCGCGUCUGCCAGAGAGUUCUACAAAGCUGGUAGUCAGACGUGUCCACAAACACGAGCGAGUUCAUAUGCUUGGGAAGAAAUAAGAGAAGGCAAAACAGCUCAAACUUAUUGCUCAUCUGGUGAAGGCUUUGCUACGUGGCCCUGUAUAAAUAAUGGAAAUGGUGUCACAUGUUGGAAUGAGGCUCCGGAUGUCCAAGAUUGCGCCUCAAAAAAAUUUAAGGCAAUCAUUCAGAAUCUGCCAGAAAAAAACUCCGUAGACGUGCAACAGACCAUCGCCGUGAGUGCAGAGCUGGUGACUGUGACCCAGUCAGAGAACAUUACGUUCGAGGAUAUCCUCGUGACGUCACAGAUCAUGUCUGCCUACGCCAUGAAGGUGGACAACAUCCAGAAGGCCUCAGAGGUCAAAACUAUUGUGGAUAACUUCGCAAAAGUCGGAAGCACUCUUGUUUCUGAAAAAACUGCGAAGGUCUGGAAAAAGAUGUCGUCCGAUGACAAGGUGAGAUCGGCCUCCACCUUACUGGUUGCCAUGGAGAACGCCACGCUAUCAUUGGUGGAAAAGAUCAAAGAGCCAAAAGUAAUCACUACAAAAACAGACAAUAUAGAUCUGAGACUGGAAGUUGUGGACGUCACAAAGAUGGAGCAACAAGAAUUGGUCUAUGAGUCUAAUUCAGACUUUGCUACAGUGUCAAUACCCAAAGAGACUUUGGUCAAUCAAAGCGAAGGCUCGUUGGCCAAAGUUGUCUUCAUUACCCACUACUCCAUGUCCAGUUUACUCGGUGGCUUGUCCAAGAAAAAAACGAAAGAGAAGAACUUAUCAGGUGAUGAUGAGACAGACGACAAGAGCAAGGAAGAGUCAAACAAUGAGGAGACUGAUAAAAAAAAUAGUGAAAAUGAAGUUGAAGAAAUUCAAUCCAGGCCUCGAAUAGCCAGUUACAUCCUCAGUGCGUCCUUAGGGAAAGAUGGACACAGCAGGAAGUUACCUAAACCAAUUACCUUCACCAUGAGACUAACUGAGGAAAUGAAUCAGGAUCAAAUAGCUCUGUGUUCAUUCUGGAACAUAAGUAACGGAGAAUCCGCGGGGUUCUGGUCACAGGACGGCUGCCAGGUAGUGGCGUCACAGAGCCACAAGAAUCACACCACAUGUCAGUGUGAUCACAUGACCAGCUUCGCCAUUAUGCUGGAUACAGAUAAUCUUAAGUUAGCCAGUGUAAUUGCAGAAGGCAGCCAAGAGUCAACAGUUAAAACGCAAGGCAUAUUAGGUAUAUUGGAACUAGAUAUAUUUUAAUAGCAAAAUUCCUGGACAGUUCAUGCAUUACUUGUCUCACCCCUUUCAAAAUAUUUUGGAAUUGGUCAAAUGAUCAUUGGGCUGACCAUACAAUACCUCCAUAGACCAUUUGGUUAUAAAGGAUAAAGGAAAACUUUUUCUUAAAUUUCAUUUCCCUUUAAACAUUAAAACCCCAAAUGAAACUCGAUUUGUUUAAUCUCAGACUGACCAGAGUGUAUGUGUCCUUAGAGAUUUGAAAAGAUGAUGCUGUUUUAUUUGUUGGCAAUGUUUCUGCUGAUCUUUGUUCUACAAGCAUACUUCCCGCUUGUUACCCCCCCCCCCCCCACCACAAAAAAGGACUUGUCUUACGUUUUACAAAUGUCAUUGAAAUUAUGGAACUAUAUUUCAUGGAACAAUAUCUGCGCGAUCACCGUAAAUGGACAGCCCCCUUAACAUGGUAGACCACAAAUCUAGGAAGAAUAGUAUCAAAUGACGCCUCGCUUUGAAGGGAAAUUGAUAACCGUCUGACCAUGGUCAGAAGGGCUUUUGGACGCCUUCAGUUUGGCGGAAUAAAUCGCUCCGCCUGCCUACAAUAAUCAGUGUCUAUCAAGAUGUGAUUCUCUCAACCCUUCUGUAUGGAUCUGAGACAUGGGUAUUACACAGAAAGCAACUAAGACUACUUGAACGCUUUCACCAAAGAUACUUGCACUCCAUCAUUGACAUAAGGUGGCAAAACAGAGGUGCCCCACGGGAAACGUUUUAAAGACCAGCUUAGGGGCCAACUUGCCUUUGCUGACGUAGAAGAGAAACCUGGUUGCAUGCGGCCUCAGAACGAGACAGCUGGAGGUCACACACAAAGGCCGCGGGAUACACAUUUGAGACCAAAAAAAAAACCCGCUGCCGAGGACAGACGCAGAAGGCGAAAAGAAAAGCCACGGGAGAUACAGCAUUCCUCAUUAAUCUUCGGACUCGAAGACCGGCCUUAUUAUUAUCUGCGCUAAUUAUCUUCUAUUCGCAAUGCGUUUUUUUUGUGUGACCUGUAUAAACGAAAUCAGUCUAUUGAUGAAACAGCAAAGUCUGCCACUGUGUGACUAGAUGGAAAACCUUUGAGUUGAAUUCUCUUUUUUUUUGGAGUAAGUAUUAUUUAAUCGAAGUAUCUUACUUAAGUAAUUAAAGAUUUUAUUUCUUAAUUACCAAAUGUACCAAAAUAUCUUAAUUUUUAUAAACAAUAUCUCUUCUUUAUUGUAUCCGUUGUUUACCUAUUUCCAAGAUAAUGAAGUUGAUUUAAAAAUAAAUAAAUAAAUAUGUAUAUAUAGUAUACAUUGAAAUAGAAGUAGAACGGACAAAGAGAAGUGAAUAGAGCAAUUUCAUACUGCCCCCACCCCGCCUUAUAUAACAAACCUUAAACAAGAACAUUGUAAGUAUACUGUUAAAUCCAUGCGUGAUUUAACUUACACUAAUUACCUUUAUGACAGAACAAAUAUAUUUCACUGGACAAGUAGCUAUAGCUAGAACAAGGAAGAUAAUAAGGAAAAGUAUAGUUACAGUCUUUGUCCAAUGGGCAGUACAUUACUUCCCUUGCUUGUGACGUACUCUAAGGUUUGAGAUCAUACAUUUGUUACCUAAAAGAUUGAUGUCUAGAUAUUUCUGGUUGGCAUGAACGUCAAUGCAUGAACGUCAAUCUUUUAGAUUGAUUUAAUUCUUUCAAAUCCUAACUCUAUCAGACGAUUUAUCUACAAUACCUGUCAGCACACCUUUAGCCAUAUAUUGUAUGAUUAACUGUGCUUUCACCCGAGCUCCUGCACUAAAUACAUUUUUAAGUCAUCGGUCGGUGUUGUUUCAUUUUACACAGAGAUACACAAACAAUAUUUAAACCUUCAAACAAAAUAUGACACUUGAAAGUUAAAGAACUAAACAAGCACCAAACCAUAAUCAAAUAUUAGUCCUUACUGUAUUUGUUUAUUUCGACGGGUAAAUAUAAAUUACAGGACGCCUAAAAUAGAAUCAGAGAAUUGCUUCAUCUCAGCAUCACUUGAAUUGGGGAUGACACGUCACCUAUUGAUGUGUUAGGUCAUGAGGAAAUAGAUAAGGUCAGACCUCAGUUUUUUUUAUGAAUUAAGGUUUGUAUAUAUUUAUUUUUUUAAUAAUAUCAUCAUUCUGACAUAAUAAGAUUGAUGUUAUCGUUACAUAGACCUAUUUUUUAAAGGCUAAACUUUUACUGAAAUAACAAGAUGGAAAGUUUGACCAUUUCCAAUAUUGAGAUAUUUCUGUUACAAAUACGUUAAAUAAAACACACGUUGUCUUUUCAACUCAUUUUCAUUUCCUGUUGAUUUACUGUCCGUGGGAUUGAUGUUUUAGAAAAGUGCUUUAUAGGAAAUGUCAUUUUGUCUAGUUCUUAGGGGUCUCUAUUUGAAAGAGUAAAAUUAGAAGAAAAUUCACAAAAACUGUUAAUUGAAACAAAAUAUUUUUGUUAAAUGUAAAACUAUUUUUUAUAAACUAAAUUAUCAAAGCCAAACAAUAUUUUUUUAUUAUAUUUGGCUAUUAGUCAUAUACAUUGUGAGAUAAAACCUGGUGUGUAUUUUCUAAUUCAUCCUUUUACAAACUAUCACUAGAGAAUUCUUUGGUUGUCCAUUUGUUUGAUCGACUAAUCCACAGAUCGAAAGAAGUGACUCGUAUCGUCCAAGACAUUGGAAAUGUUAUUUCUGCCAAAAAACACUAACACUUAAAAUGUUCAUGUCAUUGUACUUAAUAAUAAAAUAACAAACAGAAAUGGUAAUUCAGAGACUGCUCGUCUUAGACGUAACCCAAAGUCUGGAAUGCCAAUAAGUUGGAUAAUUGUGUCAAUGUGUAACAAGGAAGUAACUGAGGUUGACCAAAGAAAAGCUUUAUUACGGGGUUGCAUCCCCUCCUACUUCAAUUGACAGACUUAGUUCCUUAUACAGGCGUCCGCUCCUUGGUGUUGUUACUUCCAUUGAUUCCCUGGUCUGGCUCUCUUUCUUUUCCCAGAUUAGCAGACGUGCUUCUUCCAUUCAGAUUAGCAGACGUGCUUCUUCCAUUCAGAUUAGCAGACGUGCUUCUUCCAUUCAGAUUAGCAGACGUGCUUCCUCCAUCCAGAUUAGCAGACGUGCUUCUUCCAUUCAGAUUAGCAGACGUGCUUCCUCCAUCCAGAUUAGCAGACGUGCUUCUUCCAUUCAGAUUAGCAGACGUGCUUCCUCCAUCCAGAUUAGCAGACGUGCUUCUUCCAUCCAGAUUGAUGAACUUUGGCAAUAGGACCUAAGAAUCAUCUUUCUCGAUAGAAUUAACAGUACAGGAAUAUUUAUAAUUGAAUCAGCAAAAUUACCUUCCGUAUUUUGAACCAGGAAACAGGUUUCAAAAUCGACUCGAAGACAGAAGUUUGGAUUCCAAAGAGGUCUACAUUGGCUUGGUAGUGGUUGAUGUAAUAGACCUCCAACAUAUAUGUGCAGAGAAUGUACUGAAAAUGAUCGUCAUUAGAUAGUAACUAUUUUUUUUUCAUAAUGGAAGCGUGUGUAUGUCUUAGGAGACUUUUUUUUUUAGAAGUAAAUAUAUUGUAAUGUUUUGAAUAUUAUUUUUUUAUUUGUAUUUUUUUACUCCAUAAAUAUGCGUAUGUUUAAGAAACAGUGGAUAUGGGAAAUCCAAUUGUAACCAUUUGAAAUCUUUAAUUAUUCACUCAAGAUGUUUAAUAAACUAUAC